rnacentral:rRNA from 1 species
UACGUAGGGGGCAAGCGUUGUCCGGAAUUAUUGGGCGUAAAGAGCGCGUAGGCGGUCCGAUAAGUCGGCUGUGAAAGUCAGGGCUCAACCCUUGAAAGCCGGCCGAUACUGUCGGACUAGAGUCCGGAAGAGGCAAGUGGAAUUCCCGGUGUAGCGGUGAAAUGCGUAGAUAUAGGAAGGAACACCAGUGGCGAAGGCGACCACCUGGACUGAUACUGACACUGAGGUGCGAAAGCGUGGGGAGCAAACAGG